rnacentral:misc_RNA from 1 species
UUUCCGUAGGUGAACCUGCGGAAGGAUCAUUAUUGAAUAAACCUGAUGUGGUUGUAGCUGGCCCUUUCGGGAGCAUGUGCACACCCGUCGUCUUUAUCCUUCCACCUGUGCACCUUUUGUAGACCUGGAUGUAACACUUUCCGAGGCAACUCGGUCGGGAGGAAUGCUGUCGGCUUUCCUUGAAUGUCCAGGCCUAUGUUUUCAUAUACCCCAAAGAAUGUAACAGAAUGUAUUAUUGGGCCUUGUGCCUAUAAACUAUAUACAACUUUCAGCAACGGAUCUCUUGGCUCUC